rnacentral:lncRNA from 1 species
GCUUCAUGAGGCACAAGCACCUCUAAAGGACAAAUUUUCACAGCCUUUAUUAGUUGCAAACGUUUAUACACUGCUUGGGGUGAAUAUGGGUCUUUGACUCUCAGAAUCCAUUUCCAUCCCUUUCUGGUGUGUUUUCCUGAACUGCAGAGAUUAGGAAGCUGAAGAACACGUUAUUUGACUCCCUUGCAGCGAGGGUUCUGGAUGCAAAUUAGAUUUCACUACUCAGGUGAUUUGACAUGACAUUUGGCGAUUUUUUCCACCACAGAUAUGGCGGUGAAGACAUGGAGUUUUUCCACUGCCAUAUUUUGGUAUCCAUUAGCUGGCUUUGUGGAUUCCGAGUGGCAUCUGCCUCAGGAGUGGCGGCAGCACCUGAUCCAAGCUUCCUGGUCCAGGAGUGGUGCCCGAUCCCUGUGUGGGCGAUUGAAGGAAGAGGAGACUGUGCUCACCACUGCAAGGACAGGUGCAACAGGAGUCCACUAAAGCCCAGGAAGACGAUGGUGAUGGGCUCAAAAGCAGCUGUGGACCCUGGGACAUCGUGAUGUGACACUGGUGCUUCCAGCCUGUCUCGGCCCCUUAACUAUCAACCAUGGGGCCUUUAACCUGAACGAGGGGAGACUUAGUGGCAGCACUCACCUUUCCUGUUGAAGAUCUGAAAACAGAAGGGAAAAUGAGAGAAAAUCAGGCAAAAUGCAAGGAACAAACAAAACACCCACGGACGCUCUCUGCUGAUGGACUUCACUUUUCCUUGGCCAUGAGAGCUUUUCAGUGUGUAAUUGAAGUCAGAGAAUGCCUGUGAUUCUAGUCCCCCAUCCUUUCUGUGGCCUUGGGCAAGGUGCUUAACCGCUGGGUGCCUCAGUUUCCCCCUCUGUAAAAUGGGGAUAAUCAUACUUAAUUGCUUCACCAUGCUGAGGUAAGGAUUAAUUAGUUGAUGUUUGUAAAUGGCUUUGAAGCCAGAAAAUGCUACAACAGAGCUGGGCAUUAUUCUUAAUAAUACAUUUCAACUGAGUUGAUAAUUGCAUUUGCUGUCUCAAAUUUCCCUGGCAGUUUCAGCUGAUG